rnacentral:tRNA from 1 species
GGGGCUGUAACUCAAUGGCAGAGCGCUUGCCUUGCAUGUAUGAGGCACUGGGUUCAAUCCUCAGCACCA